rnacentral:tRNA from 1 species
GAUGAUGUAGCUCAGUAGUAGAGCACUUGGCUGGCAUGCAUGAGGCCCUGAGUUCAAUUCCCAGCACCACA